GACGAACGCUGGCGGCGUGCUUAACACAUGCAAGUCGAACGGGAUAAUUUGAGAGCUUGCUCUUAGAGAAUCUAGUGGCAAACGGGUGAGUAACACGUAGACAACCUGCCGACAGGAUGGGGACAACAUUCCGAAAGGAAUGCUAAUACCGAAUGAAGCGGAGGAGAGGCAUCUCUCCUCCGUGAAAGAUGGCCUCUGAAUAUGCUAUCACCUGUCGAUGGGUCUGCGUCUGAUUAGCUAGUUGGUGAGGUAACGGCUCACCAAGGCGACGAUCAGUAGCCGGGCUGAGAGGAUGAACGGCCACAUUGGGACUGAGACACGGCCCAGACUCCUACGGGAGGCAGCAGUGGGGAAUCUUCCGCAAUGGGCGCAAGCCUGACGGAGCAACGCCGCGUGAGUGAAGAAGGUCUUCGGAUCGUAAAGCUCUGUUGACGGGGACGAACGUGCGAAGGGUGAAUAAGCCUUUGUAAUGACGGUACCUGUCGAGGAAGCCACGGCUAACUACGUG
rnacentral:rRNA from 1 species